UUAACGAUUAAUAAAGAGUGUUCUAUUUUGCUCACCAAUUUGUACUAUACUAUGUAUUUUGUUCCAUUCUAUUUAGGUUUAGAGUCUAUACUUGGGUUUAGGGUUUAGUGAUUAGGAUUUAAGGUUUAGUAUUUGGAAGGUAGGAGUUUAGGUUUGGGUUUAGUGAUAGCAUUUUUGGAUUUAGUAUUCAAAAGUUAGAUCUGAGUUUAGGAGCUGUGUGUUGGAUUAGAGUCAUAUACUAUUCAAAAACUAGGUUUGGAUUUAGUUUAAUAUUACAUAAUAUUAUAUACUAUUUUCAGAUUUUGAUAAUUAGGUUUAAGGUAUAUAUUUGGGUUUAUGGUUCAGUAAUUAGAGUUUAGGGUUUAGUAUUUAGAUGGAAUGGUGAUGUUUAAAGUUUAAGGUUUAGUAUUUAUGAGUUGAAGUUUGGAGUAAAAUUUAGUAUGUACUAGAUGUGAGUGAAUUUUGAAUCCUAUUAUAUUUUAGUGAUAAGGUAGAAAAAUCAGAUGCAUAUUUAUAUGUGUUAAACAAAAGUAUGGUAUUGGUUGUAUUACGUGUGAUAAUUAAUUGUGGAGUGUCAAAUUGUUGAUGUUAUUAAUUUUCUCUCUCUAUUACUGGCAACUUGAACAAAAAAAAAUAAUAGUACCGAAUAAAACUUGACAUAAU
rnacentral:lncRNA from 1 species